rnacentral:hammerhead_ribozyme from 1 species
AUCCAGCUGACGAGUCCCAGAUAGGACGAAACACACGUUCUAGAU